GAGUUUGAUCAUGGCUCAGGAUGAACGCUAGCGGCAGGCUUAACACAUGCAAGUCGAGGGGUAUAGGUUUUCGGACCUAGAGACCGGCGCACGGGUGCGUAACGCGUAUGCAAUCUGCCUUUUACAGAGGGAUAGCCCAGAGAAAUUUGGAUUAAUACCUCAUAGUAUUAUGAAUCGGCAUCGAUUUAUAAUUAAAGUUCCAACGGUAAAAGAUGAGCAUGCGUCCCAUUAGCUAGAUGGUAAGGUAACGGCUUACCAUGGCGACGAUGGGUAGGGGUCCUGAGAGGGAGAUCCCCCACACUGGUACUGAGACACGGCCCAGACUCCUACGGGAGGCAGCAGUAGGGAAUCUUGCGCAAUGGGGCGAAAAGCCUGACGCAGCCAUGCCGCGUGAAUGAUGAAGGUCUUAGGAUUGUAAAAUUCUUUCACCGGGGAAGAUAAUGACGGUACCCGGAGAAGAAGCCCCGGCUAACUUCGUGCCAGCAGCCGCCGU
rnacentral:rRNA from 1 species